UCCUUUGCUUCUGUACUGCAUUUUGUUUGAUAAGCACUUGCCAACAAAGACAUCAUACUAAUUACAAUUUGUCAUACAAAGGGUAGGAAAACUGAUAAAUGAUUCAUUGAUUAUUUUCUUUAUGAAAUAAUUCUUCUGUUCUUGUCCUCAUGUUACAUUUGGAUAACAAAUGGAGGCUUUAAGUGCCUUCUCAAGGAGUUAUUUAGAAAAAAUCAUGUUUUCAGUAUUAAUUCUUAGCAACUGUGAGUGCAUAUACAUUAAACAAAAAAAAAAGGAGGACAAAAUGAGUAUUUCUGGUUCUUUGUAUGUGGAAAAGAAUUCCCCUUUUAAAAGUGGAUUUGUAUAAAAUAGUCUUUGGCUUCUCUGUAAGAUUUUUCACUCCCCACCAUUCCAAGUUAUGUAAGGCACACAUCCUCUCCUCUGCGUCCCCAAAUGCUAUGCUAGAGAAGGCAAGAUGUCUCUUGGCAUUUAUUCUGGUUUUCUUGUCCUGAAAAGGUCAAUACCUGAUAUGAUAGCUAGUUUGUCAAGGGAGAACGGCUGAGCAAGAGCAGGAAUUUGGGCAGUGGGGAAAUGUGAGCCAGUCCACAGGGCCCUCAGUGAGUAGGAAGGAGUGACCAGGAAGUCUGAGGUGAAGAGGAGUGGGCGGUGAUAGAGCCAGGGUCAGGGGCUCCAAAUGCUUUCUGGGUGCCUUCUCUUCUCUGUUUUCUCCUGGGAAGCAAUUUUAUGAUUCCCAAAUCUGUAUAAGACGCCCAGUGGUCUCUCCAUCAGGACAGUUCCCUCAUGCAUACACCCAUGCACCUUAUCCAUACCAUGCCCCAAAGUGAUCUUGCAUUUUCUCAACCCUUUUCUCAUUUCUGUAUUCCCAUCUCAAUGAAUGGUGUCAGCAGUCAUGUAGGCCAGAAACAUUUCUUCAUCACCCCGUCUCUUUGUUCUUCCUUAAUCCCAUGUAUUCUUGAUGGAUUUUACUUCAAAAUGUUUCUGAAAUGCAUUCUUUCCAUCUUCCUUCCCUCCAAACCUCAUCAUCUCUGUUCUGGACAAGUAUAAUCUCUUCUUGACGAUCUCUCUGGCUUAAGUCUUUUCUCCCACUUUUCCAUCCCCUAAACUGCUGACACAGUGAGUUUUCUAUAAAGCAAAGCUGAUUAUGUCAUUCUCCUUGAUUAAAAGGCUUCAGUUGCUUUCCAUCACUUAAACUAGGGAAUCAAAUCUGGGAUUCUUCACCUUACAUAAGAACAUCUUCACAAUUUUAUCUCUCUUUACAUUUCUGGCCACUUCUCUGCAGGUUGACCCUUUACUUGCAUGCUAUGUUUGAUCCACUCAGAAUAACUCACAGAACUUCUUUCCGUGCCAAUUGUAAAUUAGAUAGAUAUUUAUUAUUGAGGUAUGACAUGCCAGGCACUCUUCUUCUAGGUCCUAGGGACAUAGAUGAGGUGCCCUAGUACAUGUUCUUCUGGAACGUCCUUCUUAGGCUUCCUUUAAAUUCUGCUCACAUAUGACCUCCUCUGUGUAGUCUUCAUGGCCCUCCCAGGUAGAGGCAGCCAGGCCAUUUUCCAUGCUACAAGAAUUUAUUACCUCACAUACACAACUCUGAUGUGGCAUAAUACAAAUAUGUGUCUUCUUAUCUCUUUCCCUCACUCAACUGAGGGUUAAAGUCCUAGACAGAGCCUGUGUCUUAUUCAUCUUUAUCCUCAGUGUUUAGGGUAAUGCAAGGCAUGAAGCAGGUGCCUGAUAAAUAUAUAAAUAUUUUCUGAAUGAAUGAUAAUAUGUGCCCAUGAUGUAUGUCCAGGAUAAAUCUGCAUCAUACACACUUGCCCUGGGCUCUCUGGAAAAAAUACAGGCACAUCAUCAGAGGACCCUCCACCACACACACACCUAAUGUCAAAGUAAUUCCCCAGACUUUUGAAUCAAAAUAAAAUUUAUUUAGCUGAAAAUAAAAGAUAAACAUAACUGGAAGGGAGGCUAACAGUGGUUGCCUCAGGGUGGUGAAUUUCCAGAGGAAACCUGGGUAUAUAUGCCAGCUAUUCCCUUUGCCUGAAAUGUCCACUCCAGCCCCUACACACACAUACACACAGAGACACACACACACACACACAUACGCACACAGCCUGGUUAACUCUUACCAAUCUUUCAUAUCUCCUUUGUAUUUCUUUAGGGAACCUUUCCUAACCUUUAUCAUCACAGAUUAAGUGCAGUCUCCUGUCAUGUAUUCUUAGAGCAUCAAAUAUCUUCCUUUAGUAGCUUUUAUCUAGCUAUAAUUACACUUAUUUAUAUUAUUCUUUGAUUAAUUUCUAUUUCUUUUUCCAAACCAUAAGUUCAACAGGGCAAGCUCCAUGUAUGUUACACAGGAGACUCUCAAUGCAUAUUUAUUGAAUAAUAAUCAAAUGAAUCAUCUACUUUAAUAUUCAUAAUAACCAACCAAGGUGAGCCCUGUUAUCAUAUGCACUUUCCAGAGAAAAUGGACACAAGUACAAUUAAGUAACUUGCCCAAGAUCCCACAGUUAGGGAUGAAACAGUGAGGCAGUUACUGGCUUUCUGCAUGCUGGUUUCCUGUAUCACAGAGAACUAAUUUAGAGCUAUUUUAAAAAUUUACAACUUUAAAUAAAUGAGUUCAGCUUUAUUAUUCACAUUGAAUGCCUAAGAAAAUUAUUAAUUUUAAAUAUGGGUUUAAAAAAAUGAGUACAUCCAUAGAGAGUUUGUCUUUGUUUGCUCUCUCAGCUCUGAUUGGAAGUAAGUCAGUAUUAGCAGUGUUGUUAAAAUCUCCACCAUGAAGAUCCAUGUGGGUGCUUGGAGUCUUACAAUAGAAAAGGUAAGCUUAUUUCCUUUUCUAAUAUAUGGUUCUUGUUUAAUUCCAAGUGUGUGUUUGAAAUAUUUUUAAAAAGUAAUCUGAUAUUUGCAAUUUACUGAAACAUCUGACAACUGGGUAUUGAAGAAUUUAUUGUUGCAUUAUUUGAGAGCCUUCCUAAAAUUCUAAUCCCAUUUUUCUUACAGAAUGAAUGCAUUCCUUCAUAUUAAAAGACACUAAAAAGUAAUGGCAGAUGAAAUGUGGUCACGUUGAGCAGCUGCUCAGAACCUCAGUAAAGUAUGGGUCUUGAUUACAAAGAGAGAUCUAUGGAUCCCAGUUGAUGGGGAGCAGAAACACAGCUCAGAAGGGGAUUGUGGAAAGCUGGUCAGGGCACGUUUGUCCUGUGGGCCAGGAUGUCUUUAGGGGAAUAUGCAGUACAAAGAGGAAUGGGAUCUAGGCUGAGAUCUGGUCUGGUC
rnacentral:lncRNA from 1 species